AGCAGUAUGGUGUAAUGCUACACACGGGAUUUUCUUGCACUCAAGCUUAUGUGUAAUUCCCGAGGUCCUUGUUCAAAUCAGGGUACUGCUC